rnacentral:rRNA from 1 species
GACGAACGCUGGCGGCGUGCUUAACACAUGCAAGUCGAACGGGACGAUUGAAAGCUUGCUUUUGAAAGUCUAGUGGCAAACGGGUGAGUAACGCGUAGACAACCUACCUCUAAGAUGGGGACAACAAUCCGAAAGGGUUGCUAAUACCGAAUGUUGUGUCAUCACCGCAUGAUGAUGACAUUAAAGAUGGCCUCUACAUGUAAGCUAUCACUUAGAGAUGGGUCUGCGUCUGAUUAGCUAGUUGGCGGGGCAACGGCCCACCAAGGCGACGAUAGGUAGGGGUUCUGAGAGGAAGGUCCCCCACAUUGGUACUGAGACACGGUCCAAACUCCUACGGGAGGCAGCAGUGAGGAAUAUUGGUCAAUGGGUGAGAGCCUGAACCAGCCAAGUAGCGUGCAGGAGUACGGCCCUAUGGGUUGUAAACUGCUUUUAUGCGGGGAUAAUAGGAAGCACGUGUGCUUUUUUGCAGGUACCGCAUGAAUAAGGACCGGCUAAUUCCGUGCCAGCAGCCGCGGUAAUACGGAAGGUCCUGGUGUUAUCCGGAUUUAUUGGGUUUAAAGGGAGCGUAGGCGGCUAGUUAAGCGUGUUGUGAAAUGUAGUUGCUCAACAUCUGCACUGCAGCGCGAACUGGUUGGCUUGAGUGCGCGGAAGGCAGGCGGAAUUUGUGGUGUAGCGGUGAAAUGCUUAGAUAUCUGGAAGAACACCGGAGGCGAAGGCGAUCUCCUGGGCAAAUACUGACGCUCAGAUGCGAAAGCGUGGGUAGCAAACAGGAUUAGAUACCCUGGUAGUCCACGCCGUAAACGAUGUCGAUUAGGAGCUUGGGCGUAAGUCUGGGUUCCGCAGCUAACGCAAUAAAUCGACCGCCUGGGGAGUACGGCCGCAAGGUUAAAACUCAAAUGAAUUGACGGGGGCCCGCACAAGCGGUGGAGCAUGUGGUUUAAUUCGACGCAACGCGAAGAACCUUACCUGAUCUUGACAUCCGGAGAAUGCCUCUUAGGGGAGGCAGUGCCUUAGGGAACUCCGAGACAGGUGCUGCAUGGCUGUCGUCAGCUCGUGUCGUGAGAUGUUGGGUUAAGUCCCGCAACGAGCGCAACCCUUGUCCUUUGUUGCCAGCGGGUAAAGCCGGGAACUCAAAGGAGACUGCCAGUGACAAACUGGAGGAAGGCAGGGAUGACGUCAAGUCAUCAUGGCCCUUACGGUCAGGGCUACACACGUGCUACAAUGGGGCGCACAGAGGGAAGCUAAGCCGCGAGGCCAAGCGGAACCCAGAAAACGUUCCUAAGUUCGGAUUGGAGUCUGCAACUCGACUCCAUGAAGUCGGAAUCGCUAGUAAUCGCAAAUCAGAAUGUUGCGGUGAAUACGUUCCCGGGCCU